GGGAGCAGAGCUCAGUGGUAGAGUGCGUGCUUGGCCUGCAUGAGGUCCUGGGUUCAACACCCAGUCCCUCCA
rnacentral:tRNA from 1 species